GUUCAACAGUUGGCAUUCAAGUGCAUUUGCUUAGUACAAACCGUUGGCGUUAUUAUCAGUGUCAUACUAUAUCCUCAAGAGCGAUGGACCUUAGCCGUGAAGCAAAAUUUGGCAACCACGCUACAGCCAAGCAAGUCCUGCAGAUGGCAUUUGCUUAGCACAUCACAGCACCGUCGUGGCCGAUCCCUCCUGUGUCCUAUGUUAAUGAAUUAAGCAGGUGGCAGCUGAAGAUGUUCCCAAGUGAUGACAACAAACCGAACUAGAUCGAUUGAAGGCCAACCACAUCAGCAUUUAGGACCUCCCAAUUCGAUCUGCCCCAGAGAGAAGAGCACACAUCAUCAGGCAACGAGCAGAGAGUCCACCAGAGUUCAGAGGGCAGGGCGUUGCUGAUAAGAUUAGACAGUGACUUGUCUGGCAUCAGUUGCUCUUAGCUACACCGAUGCGUGAUGUGUAACUGUUUAUGACGACAAAUAAAGCCUCAUCUGUCAGUCUGCUACGUGCUUAAUUAAACUUGACAAGUACUAACGGUUUCAUAUGCUUUUUUAUGAGAGAGAGAGAGAGAGAGAGAGAGAGAGAGAGAGAGAUGGUCUCCAUUGAACUCUUCCUUUUAUUGCGAGAAUCUCUUUGUUGGCACUUAAACAAAGUACAGAAGUAAUGUGUGUAUCUUCCCGCCCAUGGGCGGAAUGAAACAAAGGCAAGAAGAAGAAUGGCAUGUGACUUCUCGGCAGGACCGCAAGCGAGCUACAGUCUAUACGCAUGUAGGAAGUGAUGCGACACGUAUCUGCAUCUAUCUACCUCUCGGUCUCGGAUAUGAUUUCAUGGAUUAUUAGCUCUUGGAAAUGAAACGAUUGCGGAAAGAUACGUCUAUCUAUCGGACAAGUGCCGCUUGCUUAAAUGGUGGCAUUAAUUGAUUCCAAUUACAGGUACUGUACCUUCCCGGCCCGGCCCAACGGAUCUAUCGGACCACACGGGUUCAUCGAAUGAGCAAUCAGUGGUUUCGUUGUGGAUGUUUGAAGACGCCGCAGAGGAUU
rnacentral:lncRNA from 7 species